UUAUGCCCAUGGAUCCAAAGCUCAUUGGAUGGCCUGCAAGUGAACUCUCUUGAGGGCAUAUAUGCUGGACUUCAACAUCCAAUUGCCCUACAGUCUCCAUCUGAAGAGGAUGGAUGAAAGGACCACUGUGAUGUCACCUGUUGGUAGAUAUCCAGGGGCCUUACCUUGCUCCCUCAUCUCAUCUCCCUCUGGGAAGGUAGGAGCACCACCCAACCAGAGCAACUGCCUGAGCUGGCCAAAGGCACCUCCCAGACACCCCAUCUCCUUGUGUGGGACAGUGGUGUCUGUGCUUUUCUCUCCUCCUGAAAAUAAA